rnacentral:lncRNA from 13 species
ACUCUACUUCGAAACGGAUCAAUGAUUUGAAUGUUUAUGAUUAAUGUAACGACUAGAGCUUAUUGGUCGUUACCAGUCCCCUCCGACUCAAGCUUUUGCCCGUUCCGUUAAUGACCAAAAAGUUGUAGGUAGCGAUACUACGAGGUGUGAUCAAAAAUUUUGACUAUGGCUGCGGUCCGAUUCACGCUCACAGCGCUCACUGUACUCACGACGCUCAUGAUCGGUCCGAUUCGUUAGCAUGCUUAAGGCGCUUGACGACAAUAAACGUUUCGGACCACUUGUAAACGCUACUCAUAGGGAUAUAACCUAAUAUACCUAAUAUACCUUACAAAUCAGCCUCGAGGAAA